CACCUUAAGCCAACACCAACGACUUUUUUUCCUUCAGCCAACAACACCGAAUCCUCCUCUCACCACCAACCAACGGUGCUCACUACUCCAUCUUCACCCUUAACUCAGCACCGUGAAACACCACCAUUCACCUCCUUCGCCGACACGCUCGCGAUUCUCUCUCAACCACCUCCGUUUACGCCGUCACAACUCCACGAAAAAGCUUACCUUCCGUUCUUCUCCGGCCACGAACCAACAACCUCCACCAUGAACCUUCACCGCCGACACAAACCAUCUCAGAUCCGCCGUUAAACCCACAUCCUUCCUCCGAAAAACCACCACUGCAAACGUCUUCAAUCCCUCAGACCCUUCCGUAACAUUCUGGAUGCUGGGAAUUUUCAACAACAGCAACAACACUUCAAUAGUGAAACAGAACCAAGACCAAACUCACGAAAAACUACCCUUUUUGGCCGAAAUUGUAAAUCUCCCUUUUGUUGUUUCCGCCGUCGAUUUCGUGAGUUCCUUUAUCCUUAUUGAUGUCUCAUUAUUUGUUUCGUUAAGAGAAAAAUGUGUCUGUUGGUUUUUGAUUUGGAGAAGAAAUGAAUAGCGCUUAGAAUGAGAGUCAAAGAAGGGGAGAACAUGGCUUUUCUAUAUUUAUGAAAGUUGUGUUUUUAUGUGAAUUUUUUUCAAUAAAUUCUGUUUUAUUCUUAUAACUAUUUUACUUAAUAUAUAAAUGAGAGUCAAAGAAGGGGAGAACAUGGCUUUUCUAUAUUUAUGAAAGUUGUGUUUUUAUGUGAAUUUUUUUCAAUAAAUUCUGUUUUAUUCUUAUAACUAUUUUACUUAAUAUAUAAUUGAAAAAGUUAAUGGUUUUACGUUCCAUAUUUUCAAAAUUUGAGAUGAAAG
rnacentral:lncRNA from 1 species